GGGCCGCCCGGGGCCGUCUUACGUAGCCUGAGAGGAGUCGGUGGGCUCCUGGUCCAGCGAGGGGCCUUCGGCGGACGAGGGUUGAGAACACUGAUCCGGGCAGGUCCACUGUGUGGAGCUUGCAAGUUCUUCCCUUUGGGUUUUCUCCUGGUUCUCCUCCCACAGCCGACAUGCAGCUCAGGGAUCCACAACCCUCUCCUGGGCACCUGCAGGAUCUGGCGCUGUUCUGGAGAGGCCCGUUGUAGACACUGUACCACCAGCCAGCUGCAUUUGUUGUCCUGGAUGUCGGUGCCAAUCUUGCCCGUCACACUGGAGUCCCCAAAGAGAUCAAGGAAACCUCUGGAAUUGCUACGCUCUUGGCUUCCCCGAAAUCCUGAGUACAGUUAGAAGGGUCCAGAGUAAAGUUCCUCACGACUACGGACUGUCGGAUCCCUAAAUCACCCUAUUUCACAGAGAUCAAAAGUGAGGUUCUAGAAGGGAGCGCUGGGGCUGCGGAGACAGCCUCGGAGCAACACUGGGAGUGAGGAGGGUUCGCAGAGGAGCAAACCUGGUUCGGGUAUAUUAGGGAGAUGCCAGGAAAGCCACAUAAGAGCUCGGGAGUUUCCGCACCUCCAAAUGGAUGACGACGUGACGCUCAGUCUCUCCACCCAGACCCGCGUCCCACAGGCCUCGGGCCUCGGCCUCGGCCUCUGCCUCGUCGCCUCUCCUGCCCAGGAGCCCCGGCCUCGCCCUCCUGCCAGCCGUGGCUCUCGGGCGCCCCUUGCGGGCGGGCCGGCCGGCGGGCCUUUCCCCGAGGGAGGCUGGGCCGGUAUUGGAUGGUUUGUAGAAUAAAGUUGCCUUAGUCUGGA